rnacentral:rRNA from 1 species
UACAGAGGUGGCAAGCGUUGUUCGGAAUUACUGGGCGUAAAGGGCGCGUAGGCGGCCUACUAAGUCAGACGUGAAAUCCCCCGGCUUAACCUGGGAACUGCGUCUGAUACUGGAAGGCUUGAGGAUGGGAGAGGGAUGUAGAAUUCCAGGUGUAGCGGUGAAAUGCGUAGAUAUCUGGAGGAAUACCGGUGGCGAAGGCGGCAUCCUGGACCAUUACUGACGCUGAGGCGCGAAAGCGUGGGGAGCAAACGGG